rnacentral:rRNA from 1 species
UGGCUCAGAUUGAACGCUGGCGGCAUGCUUUACACAUGCAAGUCGAACGGCAGCACGAAAGAGCUUGCUCUUUUGGUGGCGAGUGGCGAACGGGUGAGUAAUACAUUGGAACGUACCGAGUAAUGGGGGAUAACUGUCCGAAAGGAUGGCUAAUACCGCAUACGCUCUGAGGAGGAAAGCGGGGGACCUUCGGGCCUCGCGUUAUUCGAGCGGCCAAUGUCUGAUUAGCUAGUUGGUGGGGUAAAGGCCUACCAAGGCGACGAUCAGUAGUGGGUCUGAGAGGAUGAUCCGCCACACUGGGACUGAGACACGGCCCAGACUCCUACGGGAGGCAGCAGUGGGGAAUUUUGGACAAUGGGCGAAAGCCUGAUCCAGCCAUGCCGCGUGUCUGAAGAAGGCCUUCGGGUUGUAAAGGACUUUUGUCAGGGAAGAAAGGGUUUGGGUUAAUACCCUGAGCUUAUGAC